ACCUUCCUUCUCACUCGCGCCCUAAAUCCUCUCCACCCGAUUCUUCCCCCAACCCGACGCCUCUUCCCCUUCCUCUCGGUGCCGUCCACCUAUUCCUCUUCCUCUUCCCCGAGCCUGAUCAUCUUCCUCUCCUUCCCUCCCACGCGAACAAAGCCUCGGCAAAGGGGAAACCGAGCGCUCUCCCUUCUUCCCUCUGUGUUGCUGCCGACCACCACAGCCGACGCCGACGCCGACCCCCAAUCUGGCCGUUGCCCCUCUCUUCCCGCGUUGCCACCUGAUCGUCGUCGCUAGCCGACGCCACCGGACGUCAGAGCCCUCCUCCUCCUUUGGAGGUCAGUGACGUAACCGAGCACCCGCGUUUGUUGGGUCGUGCCCUAGACUGGGUCCACGGUCGCCGGCGCCCCUUUCCGACGUCGAGGGAGUUGUCCACAGCCACGGACGCCAUCGUCACUAGGGUUGAGCCGCUGGAUUUCCAUCGGCCUUGAGGCAGCAUCUCCUUCUCUCAGGCUCUAGCAGUGUUGUUCUGAACACCAACCCCUGUUUCCCCCCUGCCGGACUAGGCACCAUAGCAGCCACCACCAGACCUUCCUCUUCUCGAUUCUUCACUGUCAUCUCCUCACUGUGCCUCAUCCGUGCGCUGUUCAGAUUCAAGGAGCUAGGUUGGCAGAGACACCAUCUUCAACAGAAGCUUGCAGAUCAGGAUUUAGGGGUUUUUGGAAUUCGCUGUGGCAAUCUUGCUUCGGCUGAGAACAUUAAGAGAAGAGGGAGGUGUCCAGCAAGAGCUGUGGUUUUUCCUGGUAUGUCCAGCAGCUCACCUUGUUUCCAGCAACAAACACGCUCUUUGACUGUGGAUCAACAGGGGCUGUGAAGUGAGGACUUUGAUACGAGACGAGCAUCUCGACGUCGAAUUUGGAUCGGAUUGGAUCUUUCUAUUGGAGGCAGGAUUAUGAUACUCUUCGGUCUUAUAACCUUGCUUUCCUUAUAUCAAGAUCCGGGUUGAGGCUGUUCAGGAGGUUCCAGUUGCUAGUCCCCCCACCACUUCGCGUUGUGACGAGUUUGCACAUUUUGGUUUUUGUUAUUGUCUAUAUUAUUUAGACUUGUAUCUUUUGGCACUUGGAUCUUGUAUGAUCUCUUAUUAUCGAUGAGUUUUCGUUUGGAUGUAUGCUAGUAAUUUGUGUUUUAUGGGUGUA